CGGCCGGCGGCCCGGGAGCCGAACCUGGGCAUCAUUUUCCCCCACAACACUUGCAGCUGGAAUUCCGCACACGCGCAGAGAGCAAUUAGAUUGUUAGAUUGUUUCCAUCUACUCCCUAUUACAUCAAAUGAGUACAGGACUUGUCUGCUUGUGAACAUGAAGGAAAAUAUCUCUACCAACAGCUUGUGCAGCUUCAACUUUACAAGGGGACAUGGAUUUGAUCCCUGGUCCAGGAAGAUCCCACAUACCUUGGAGCAACUAAGCCGUCGUGCCAUGACUACUGAGCCCACGUGCCUAGAGCCUGUUCUCCGCAACAAGAGAAGCCACCGAAAUGAGAAGCCCACCCACCGCCACGAAGAGCAGCCCCCACUUGCCGCAGAUAGAGAAAGCCCACGUGCAGCAACGAAGACCCAACG